GACGAACGCUGGCGGCGUGCUUAACACAUGCAAGUCGAGCGAUGAAGAAAAGAAUCGAAGCUUCGGCAGAAAUUCAUUUCGGAUUAGUGGCAGACGGGUGAGUAACGCGUGAGCAACCUACCUCUUACAAAGGGAUAGCCUCGGGAAACCGGGAUUAAUACCAUAUAACAUUGCGACGAAGCAUUUCGAUGCAAUCAAAGCUACGGCGGUAAGAGAUGGGCUCGCGUCCCAUUAACCGGAUGGUGAGGUAACGGCUCACCAUAGUGACGAUGGGUAACCGGCCUGAGAGGGUGAACGGUCACACUGGAACUGAGACACGGUCCAGACUCCUACGGGAGGCAGCAGUGGGGAAUAUUGCACAAUGGAGGGAACUCUGAUGCAGCGACGCCGCGUGAGUGAUGAAGGAAUUCGUUUCGUAAAACUCUGUUCUAUGGGAAGAAAAGGACUGUACCAUAGGAGAAAGCUCCGGCUAAAUACGUG
rnacentral:rRNA from 1 species